rnacentral:rRNA from 1 species
CGCGUAGGCGGUCGUGUAGGUGGGGGGUGAAAGGUGCGGGCUUAACCCGCAUAGGUCUCCCCAGACCGCGCGACUCUGAGGGCAGUAGAGGCAGGUGGAAUUCCGGGUGUAGUGGUGAAAUGCGUAGAGAUCCGGAGGAACACCGGUGGCGAAGGCGGCCUGCUGGGCUGUCCCUGACGCUGAGGCGCGAAAGCGUGGGGAGCGAACUGAAUUAGAUACUCAGGUAGUCCACGCCCUCAACGAUGGACACUAGGUGUGGGGGGGUAUCGACCCCUCCCGUGCCGGCGCUAACGCAGUAAGUGUCCCGCCUGGGGAGUACGGCCGCAAGGCUAAA